CUAACUCCCCCUCCUGAGGAGACAGAGCCAUGACGGGCAGGAAGCUGGAGGCUCCCUGCAGCAUGUACUGACCGGCCAGGUACUCUGGAGUCGCACCUGGACAGAGGAAGGAGAAGAGAUGAAGGUCUGAGGUCUACCUGAGCCAGGUCCCUCCUCCUCGUCUUCAGAGUGUUGGUCCGGAUGGUGACGGGUCGGUGGAUCUCAUUGGCUUCCAGGAAAUCGACCAGCUGGACACCAGAGAGAGAAUAAAGUUUACCGACACGGACUGAGCCGGUCCGUCCUAACCAUGAUGAAUUACCAGUCAAAGCGGUUCCGUAGUCAUCAACCAUUUCAUCAUCAUCAUCGUCCUCCUCCUCCUCCUCCUCCUCCUCCUCCUCUUCCUCUUCCUCAUCAUCCUCCUCCUCUUCCUCCUCUUCUUCCAC